rnacentral:rRNA from 1 species
GUGGGGAAUCUUCCGCAAUGGACGAAAGUCUGACGGAGCGACGCCGCGUGAGUGAUGAAGGCCCUUGGGUCGUAAAGCUCUGUCAUCAGGGACGAACGGUCACGUCAGGAAAUGGGCGUGAAUUGACGGUACCUGAGAAGGAAGCCACGGCUAACUACGUGCCAGCAGCCGCGGUAAUACGUAGGUGGCGAGCGUUGUCCGGAAUUAGUGGGCGUAAAGCGCGCGCAGGCGGGAUCGUAGGUCUGUUCUGAAAGUUCGGAGCUUAACUCCGUGAUGGGAUGGAAACUGGGAUUCUUGAGUAUCGGAGAGGAAAGCGGAAUUCCCCGUGUAGCGGUGAAAUGCGUAGAUAUGGGGAGGAACACCAGUGGCGAAGGCGGCUUUCUGGACGAUGUCUGACACUGAGGCGCGAAAGCCAGGGGAGCGAACGGGAUUAGAAACCCCGGUAGUCC